GCUUGCACUAGACACUUCUUUCUGCAUGAGUUCGUUCCACCUGCAGCACAGCUGUGUGGGCCUGUAUGCGUGUGCUCCCAUGACGGGGAGCAGAGAAGCGUGGUGGUGCUGCACUGAGGCUCGUUUUCCAGAGAGAAACGGCUCCAGAAAAGAGAGAUCACUUGGACAGGGUCACAGGGCCGGGAGGUCCCAGCCGUGGCUGGAAUCUGCGCACUGGGUGGUCAUCUACAGGAAAUGAUGGCCGGAGCUGCGGCAGCCAUUAGCCACCCUGAGGGAUGACACUGCUCACAUGCCAAGAAAUCUUAGUCCACUAGAACACCAUUGAACAGUUGAUGCACUGACCAUGACCUCCCCAUCUUGGUGAGAUUUGUUGUUUUGUAAAAUAAUAAAGGCCUUUGUUUUUUU